rnacentral:sRNA from 1 species
GCCAGGCAUGGUGGUGCAUGCCUGUAGUCCCAGCUACUCAGGAGACUGAGGUGGGGGGGUCGCUUGAACCCGGGAGUUUGAGGCUGCAGUGAGAUACGAUGGCACCACUGCACCCCAGCCUGGGUGACAGAGUGAGCCCCUGUCUCUG